rnacentral:rRNA from 1 species
UCAGGACGAACGCUGCGGCGUGCCUAAUACAUGCAAGUCGAACGGUCUUUCUAUGGAAGCUUGCUUCCACUGAGAAGAUAGUGGCGAACGGGUGAGUAACACGUGGGUAACCUGCCCAUAAGAGGGGGGAUAACAUCCGGAAACGGGUGCUAAUACCGCAUAGUUUUCUUGAUCGCAUGAUCGGGAAAGGAAAGACGGCCUUUGUGCUGUCGCUUAUGGAUGGACCCGCGGCGUAUUAGUUAGUUGGUGAGGUAACGGCUCACCAAGACGAUGAUACGUAGCCGACCUGAGAGGGUGAUCGGCCACAUUGGGACUGAGACACGGCCCAAACUCCUACGGGAGGCAGCAGUAGGGAAUCUUCCGCAAUGGACGAAAGUCUGACGGAGCAACGCCGCGUGAGUGAAGAAAAGGGUUUUCGGAUCGUAAAACUCUGUUGUCAGAGAAGAACAAGUUGGAGAGUAACUGCUCCAGCCUUGACGGUAUCUGACCAGAAAGCCACGGCUAACUACGUGCCAGCCGCUGC